CAGCAGCUGAGCAGCAGCUAUUUGCAGAACUUGAAGAUCUGCUCUUCCUUCUGCUUCUCUGCAAUUUGUCUCCAUUCCUAGACACCUGGCUCACACCCCCCAUACUCUGAUGAGCCACUCUUGGGCUACCGUUUCUUACAGCUGGCUGCUUUCAGCUGUUUCAAAUCUGGGCUGGAAUCACCUGGCUUUAAUUUAAGUAGCAAACAAAGGCAGCCUUCCCUAUGGGUGUGCUUUAGUUUCAUUGGGGUUGAGUUCCACAAAGAAGAAGUGCGCUGAGUGUGAUGCUUUAACAAAAGCAGCAUACGUCCUAACAAGAAAUAAGGUCCUCUGCUGCUUUCUUCAUAUUGCCAUGCUGUCUUCAAAGGGCGCAUGGACAUCCAGGAGAUGGAUGCUCUGCAAAGCACCUAUGCCUGCAGGGAAAGCCGAAGGCGAAGAGCUGUGUCCUGGUGGCUAUUGCUUCUGUAACAACCACUCAGAUGAGAGAAGCUGAGAUCUUCCUGCUACCAUGGAAAGAAUCCUAGGGAAGAAGACCCAGGGAGAAGGGAGUUGAGAGGUGAGCUGUUCCAAUGAGUGCUGUGCGCCAUCACCAAUGCUUCAGAAGGAAGUAUGGCCUGCCCUCAGUCCUCCUCUGAGCCAACAAGAAAAUCAAAUAUACUAUUUUUAAAGGCGGCAACCCGCCAGGAGCUGCUGGGUGCUGUGAGGAUGGGAUGUCCC
ensembl:lncRNA